rnacentral:misc_RNA from 1 species
GAUGAAGAACGUAGCGAAAUGCGAUACUUGGUGUGAAUUGCAGAAUCCCGUGAACCAUCGAGUCUUUGAACGCAAGUUGCGCCCGAAGCCACUAGGCCGAGGGCACGCCUGCCUGGGCGUCACACGCCGUUGCCCCCCCAUCUACUCCUUCGGGAUUGCGGGGGGGCGGAUGAUGGCCUCCUGUGCGCCUAGCCGCGCGGUUGGCAUAAAUACCAAGUCCUCGGCGACGCACGCCACGACAAUCGGUGGUUGCGAAACCUCGGUUGCCCGUCGUGUGCGUUCGUCGCGCAUCGAGGGCUCGAAAAAAUGCUCGGCUCCGGCUGGGCUUUCAACGCGACCCCAGGUCAGGCGGGGUUACCCGCUGAAUUUAAGCAUAUCCAAUAAGCGGAGGA